CAGGCCCUGCUUUUGACUUUUGGUGGCCUC
rnacentral:piRNA from 1 species